rnacentral:rRNA from 1 species
AUGUGUGUACCCAAAAAUCAAGGGGGUACGGGAUUCCGGGAUAUUCAUUGCUUCAACCUGGCAAUGCUAGCAAAACAAGCGUGGCUUAUCAUUGAGAAUCCAGAUUCCUUAUGUGCGACCGUGCUGAGAGCUAAAUAUUUCCCAAACGGUGAUUUAUUGAAUACAAAGCUAAAAAAGGGCUCCUCUUUUACUUGGCAAAGUAUUAUGGCAGGGGUUAAUUGUCUAAAUCUUGGUUAUGUUUGGCUUGUUGGAAAUGGUCACAACAUUGAUAUUUGGGAAGAUGCUUGGAUCCCUAACUACGCAAAUAGAAAAGUAAUCACACCUAGGGGGAGUAAUUUUUUCUCAAGGGUAUCUCAUCUAAUUGAUCCUGCUACUAGUAACUGGGACAAAAAUCUGGUUACAGAAAUAUUAUGGCCAGUUGAUGCACAAAGGGUCCUUUCAAUUCCUUUGCCCCAACAUGACAUGUUGGACUUUGUCGCCUGGAGCUAUUCAAGGAAUGGAACAUUUUCUGUUCGGUCAGCCUAUGCAGUGAAAUGGGAACACCAACACGGGGGGAAACUAAGAAGAAACGAUGGUAUGGGACACAUGACUAUCAAUCCUAUUUGGAGUGACAUUUGGAAAUUAUCUUGUCCAUCGAAGGUUAAAAUUUUCAUUUCGCGUACGCUGCAUGGCACCCUCCCAUGUAGAGUUAAUUUGGUGAAUAGACACAUAAAAGUUACCCCCAAUUGUCCUGCAUGUUCCUUUGGAUCAG